UGGGGAAUAUUGCACAAUGGGCGCAAGCCUGAUGCAGCCAUGCCGCGUGUAUGAAGAAGGCCUUCGGGUUGUAAAGUACUUUCAGUCGGGAGGAAGGUGUCAAGGUUAAUAACCUUGGCAAUUGACGUUACCGACAGAAGAAGCACCGGCUAACUCCGUGCCAGCAGCAGCGGUAAUACGGAGGGUGCAAGCGUUAAUCGGAAUUACUGGGCGUAAAGCGCACGCAGGCGGUUGAUUGAGUCAGAUGUGAAAUCCCCGGGCUUAACCCGGGAAUUGCAUCUGAUACUGGUCAGCUAGAGUCUUGUAGAGGGGGGUAGAAUUCCAUGUGUAGCGGUGAAAUGCGUAGAGAUGUGGAGGAAUACCGGUGGCGAAGGCGGCCCCCUGGACAAAGACUGACGCUCAGGUGCGAAAGCGUGGGGAGCAAACAGG
rnacentral:rRNA from 1 species